rnacentral:rRNA from 1 species
AAGAAGCUCCAUACUGUGGUGCUCCUGUGGGAUUGGUGGACAUCAAGGAACAAGGCCAACACUGGACAAAAACAACGAUCAGCGGGCGAGGUGAGCAUGUUUAUUACCAAGCAUAUGACAGAGUUUGAAGCUCUUCGAAGCAAGCCAAUUCCACACCCAGCUGUGCAGCUUGCUUGGGUUCCCCCCGAACCAGGUGUUGUCAAAUUCAACAUGGACACCGCAUAUAGAGAGGAGUUGGAGUCUGGAGCGUGGGGUUUUAUUGUAAGGGAUGAACAUGGCGUCUUCUUGGCGGCUGCUGCAGGCAAGCUGGAGCAUGUGCGAAGUGCUUUUCAAGCUGAGUGUUUAGGCUGUCUAAAAGCAAUUGAAGGAGCGGCUGAUCUGGGAGCACAUCGGGUCAUAUUCGAAUCGGACUGCCUCACUAUGACCUCUGCACUUAAAGGUCGGGACUACAAUGCUGCUGAUCUGGGCGUCCUAAUUAGAGAAGCUAGAAGUUUGUGCCAUGCUUCGUUUCAAUCUUUUGAGUUCAAUUUCAGUAGACGGGACUGUAAUAAAAUUGUGCACACCUUGGCACAUUAUGCUUUGGGUGUCGAUGUACCCCUGACUGUCUGGGCUGAUGAGGCCCCGGACUUUGUUUCGGUGUUGGUGGCCACU